CCCUUAGAUGUUCUGGGCCGCACGCGCGCUACACUGACGGAGCCAACGAGUACUUUCCUUGUCCGGAAGGACUGGGUAAUCUUGUGAAACUUCGUCGUGCUGGGGAUAGAGCAUUGCAAUUAUUGCUCUUCAACGAGGAAUUCCUAGUAAGCGUGAGUCAUCAGCUCGCGUUGAUUACGUCCCUGCCCUUUGUACACACCGCCCGUCGCUACUACUGAUUGGAUGUUUAAGCGAGGUUCUCGAACUGCUAGCGACUUAGCUUCGGUGAGGUCGCAGUGUGGGAAGUGAACCUAGCUUUGGUGUCUAGAGGAAGUAAAAGUCGUAACA
rnacentral:rRNA from 1 species